AGAGUUUGAUGGUGGCUCAGGAUGAACGCUGGCGGCGCGUCUAAUACAUGCAAGUCGAGCGACCCUUCGGGGGAGCGGCAGACGGCUGAGUAACACGUUGGUACCCACCCAUUACUCGGGGAUAGCUCGGAGAAAUCCGGAUUAAUACCCGAUAGUCUCUACGGAGUAAAGCUUUCGCGGUAGUGGAGGGGCCUGCGGCCUAUCAGAUUGUUGGUGAGGUAACGGCUCACCAAGUCGAUGACGGGUAGCUGAUGUGAGAGCAUGAUCAGCCAGAAUGGGACUGAGAACGGCCCAUACUCCUACGGGAGGCAGCAGUAAAGAAUCUUCCACAAUGGGGGCAACCCUGAUGGAGCGACGCCGCGUGAGGGAUGACGUCCUAACGGAUGUAAACCUCUUUUGUCUGGGAAUAAAUUUUUGAAGGUACCAGACGAAUAAGCACCGGCUAAUCUCGUGCCAGCAGCCGCGGUAAUACGAGAGGUGCAAGCGUUAUCCGGAAUCACUGGGCGUAAAGCGUCCGCAGUCGGUCACACAAGUCUGAGGUAAAAUCCCGGGACCCAAUCCCGGACUCGUCUCGGAAACUGUGUGACUUGAGUCGUGCAGGGGUGAGCGGAAUUCCGAUUGUAGGGGUAAAAUCCGUUGAUAAUCGGAGGAACACCAAACGCGAAGGCAGCUCACUGGGCACGUACUGACGAUCAGGGACGAAAGCGUGGGGAGCGAAGGGGAUUAGAUACCCCCGUAGUCCACGCCCUAAACGAUGGAUACUCGGUUUGCGAGAGAUUCGACCCUCUUGCGAGCCCAAGCUAACGCGUUAAGUAUCCCGCCUGUGGAGUACGGCCGCAAGGCUAAAACACAAAGGAAUAGACGGGGGGCCCGCACAAGCGGUG
rnacentral:rRNA from 1 species